rnacentral:snoRNA from 1 species
UUUAAAAUAUGUGAUUCUGCCCCAGUCUGAUUGUGGUGACUGAAGGGUAUUUCUGAACCAUG